CGACCCGGGUCAUGGAUGGGCAUGCGGCGCAUAGGGUAGUUGGUGGGGCAACGGCCCACCAAGCCGACGAUGCGUAGGGGUUCUGAGAGGAAGGUCCCCCACAUUGGAACUGAGACACGGUCCAAACUCCUACGGGAGGCAGCAGUGAGGAAUAUUGGUCAAUGGCCGGAAGGCUGAACCAGCCAAGUCGCGUGAGGGAAUAAGGCCCUACGGGUCGUAAACCUCUUUUGCCAGGGAGCAAUGCCGUCCACGUGUGGACGGAAGGAGAGUACCUGGAGAAAAAGCAUCGGCUAACUCCGUGCCAGCAGCCGCGGUAAUACGGAGGAUGCGAGCGUUAUCCGGAUUUAUUGGGUUUAAAGGGUGCGUAGGCGGCCUGCCAAGUCAGCGGUAAAAUUGCGGGGCUCAACCCCGUACAGCCGUUGAAACUGCCGGGCUCGAGUGGGCGAGAAGUAUGCGGAAUGCGUGGUGUAGCGGUGAAAUGCAUAGAUAUCACGCAGAACCCCGAUUGCGAAGGCAGCAUACCGGCGCCCGACUGACGCUGAGGCACGAAAGUGCGGGGAUCAAACAGGAUUAGAUACCCUGGUAGUCCGCACAGUAAACGAUGAAUGCUAGCUGUCCGGGGGGAUUGACCCCUGG
rnacentral:rRNA from 1 species